rnacentral:lncRNA from 1 species
CAAGGUGUCACUAUAUUCCAGCGUUUUAGUUUUCAAGCCGUAUUAUUCGUUCAGUUGCGUUUUAACUUUCAUUAAUAUGGAGUGAUUUUUUGCGGAAGUUUUCUAGACAUUUACAUGGACUUGUGAAGAAAAGUGAACUGUGUAAAAUGCAACGGUUCAUAGGUCAAAGGUCAUUUCCAAAAACAUCACCUAAUUUGAAAGAGAAAGAUUCAGGAAUGGCGUAAGAAGGAGUGAUGCGGGACACUUGCGGAGCGGUCUGCUUAUGCGAAUGUAUUGAUCGGAGUACUGGUGCAUCCCUUGAUUAGACAACUUCCAAAAUGGU